rnacentral:sRNA from 2 species
ACCCACUGCUGUCAAUCUAUCUACCACUGUUAAUCUAUCUACUGCUGUCAAUCUAUCUAUUACUGCUAAUCUAUUGCUGCUAAUCUAUUACUGUUAAUCUAUCACUGCUAAUCUAUUACUGCUAAUCUAUUGCUGUUAAUCUAUUGCUGCUAAUCUAUCACUGUUAAUCUAUUAUCAUUAAUCUAUCUAUCACUGUCAAUCUAUCUACUGCUGUCAAUCUAUCUAUCACUGCUAAUCUAUCACUGCUAAUCUAUUGCUGCUAAUCUAUCACUGCUAAUCUAUCACUGCUAAUCUAUUGCUGCUAAUCUAUCACUACUAAUCUAUCACUGCUAAUCUAUUACUGUCAAUCUAUCUAUCACUGUCAAUUUAUCUACCACUGUCAAUCUAUCUACCACUGUCAAUCUAUCUAUCACUGCUAAUCUAUCACUGCUAAUCUAUUGCUGUUAAUCUAUUGCUGCUAAUCUAUUGCUGCUAAUCUAUCACUGCUAAUCUAUUGCUGCUAAUCUAUUGCUGCUAAUCUAUUGCUGCUAAUCUAUUGCUGUCAAUCUAUCUACCACUGUCAAUCUAUCUACUGCUGUCAAUCUAUCUAUCACUGCCAAUCUAUAUAGAAUAAAUCAUGAUUCCAUUUGGUUUCAUUUUGUAAAAUGAAAUUAAAUGAAAUCAGAAUCACUAAUUUAUUAGUAAAAUAUGAUCUGAGACUAGAUUUAUAAUAUAAACAGUGUAAAGUGACUAAUUUGCUAAACACUAUAUGAGAUCAGAACUAAGAUAUCUAAUAAUAAGACUGAGGAAAAAUUUGGUCCCAGUUUCAUGCAUGAUUACACAGUCAGUCUAGCCAUCAC